AUUGAACGCUGGCGGCAGGCCUAACACAUGCAAGUCGAGCGGAUGCAGGGAGCUUGCUCCUGGAUUCAGCGGCGGACGGGUGAGUAAUGCCUAGGAAUCUGCCUGGUAGUGGGGGAUAACGUCCGGAAACGGGCGCUAAUGCCGCAUACGUCCUGAGGGAGAAAGUGGGGGAUCUUGGGACCUCACGCUAUCAGAUGAGCCUAGGUCGAAUUGGCUAUUUGGUUGGGUAAAGGCCUACCAAGGCGACGAUCCGUAACUGGUUUGAGAGGAUGAUCGGUAAAACUGAACUUAGAAACGGUUCAGGCUCCUUAGGGAGGGAGGCGUUGGGAAAAAUUGACCAUUGGGCGAAGGCUUGAUCAAGCAAAGCGGCGGGGUGGAAGAAGGCCUCCGGUUUGUAAACCCCUUUAUGUUGGAAGAAAGGGAAGUAAGUAAAUCCCUUGCUGUUUGGAGGUUACCAAAAGAAUAGGAACCGGCUACUUCGUG
rnacentral:rRNA from 1 species